AUGCAACGAAAACUGAACUAAGUAUUUAAUGCACGAAUAUGUACAAUAAUUAAUUAUUACUCAUUAGUAGACGGAAGAACAACAUCAGUGUUGUAUUUAUUUAAAGUUACAUCAAUUUUUGGAUAUAUUUUAUGUUGGAAAUAGUGUUCAUAUUAACUGUAAAUUGAAAUAUAAUAUUUUAAUUGUCAUACAUAAUCAUAAAACACAAGUUUCUUGAUUUAUUACGCGUUAGAAAUAUUGUGUUUACUUGCUUAUCGGAAGACAGUGCGUCAACGAACGAAGUUGUUUAUUUCGUGCGAAUAGACGCUGCAUCUCACUUAUACACAAGUGUAUGAAUGCGAACUCAUUGUAAUCUCACCACACCACUACACGAGCAACUGUUUAGUAAAAACAACGAGUUAACUGCAAAGAACUCAGAUGUGAAUUUAAUGCAAAGAAGUGCAUCGUUGCGACAUCUAGGCAUUUACUGGAGAGUCAAACUUAAGUGAGCGAUGAAAAUACAGAGCCACCAGCUUCCGAGGCUUGUAACGACGCCGUCGACACCACAUCGGCGAUCAUGUCUGUCUGCCUGGCGGCGGCGAUGGUGAAGAGCGUCGUGCGUCACUGGAGAUUAUGUACUGUAUUAUAUUUCAGCGAGUCCAUUGUCACUUGCAUAAAUGUAUCAUGUGUGCGAAUUGUGUAAAUUGCCAGAUAUUGAUUAACAACACACGGCGAAUAUUGAAUAUUCAAUGAAUUACGCAAUUUAAACACACAAAAAAUAAAAAAUAAAAUUAAGCAGCUUCAAAGUCAAGACGUAGUAAAAGAUUCAUGUUUAAUGUUUGCUUUGAUGUCUGCUUAACGUCUUCUCCUAUUAAAGAUAAAAUUACUUUUACAGGUAAUUAUGCUAAAACUAGUAGAACCCGUAUAUUGCUUUAUACAUUCGUUCCUAGUCACAUUAAACUCAAAAGAUAAAAGCAACUUUCACAUAUCCCAAUUAAAAUCACCUAGCAACUGCAAAAAUCAUGACUUUUUUGGUUGAAAAUGUCAACCUCUGAGUAAGAUUUUUGAAGUUUUUCGGUUUUUCAAUGCAGUGUGGUAGACUUUAUCUUAUUUUUCAUCAUGACUUUCAUCAUACAUUUCUACACCCGGUGUCAAACCAUCAUUUUACAAUGGUUUCAUGAUGGUACCCUCUUCUCGCGUCUUUUCAUCUGGCUGCUAGCCGUAAAUAUACUGGUAUACUGCAUUUAUAUGAUUCUGCGUCACCUAGUGACCAUCUUUUUGCUCCGCUGGCCCGAAUGGUGGCAGAUAUUCAAAGGACGCGACUACAUCUACAACCUGGAGGAGUGCCCGAUUUGUUUCCAGGACUUUUGUGAUCCGAUACGCCUGCCCUGCGGGCAUGUCAACUGUUUGAAGUGUAUUACUGAUUACUGUCGACAUAUGCAGCACUGCGGUGGGAUUUUAAGGUGUUCUCUGUGUCGCGCACCGAUCAGAGAUAUUCUAUAUCUCGAGGGUUAUACGCCGUCGACGCUUCCCAAUGGGCAAACAACGAAAAAACUCAGCAAACUGCGCAGGUUUAUCGAGAACCCGAGGUAUACCUUUCCGUGGAUCAAUCGCAUCAACGGCUUGUGCUGGGUAAUCUGUUUUAUACUCGUCGUCUACUACAGCUGCAAUUUUUAUUAGCACACAGGAAGAAACAUACUGAAACUGCGAUAAAUAUACUCGUUUGUAUUUUUAAA